rnacentral:rRNA from 1 species
AUGCUGCGACUGCCCGUGCACAAGUUCGGGAUACUAGGGUACCCCUACUCUAGUACACCGACAAAAGAUGUCGGGAGACUAAUCCACGAGCACCUAUGGGACCGGCGGACCGAGUCCCUUUCGAUUCGGCGAGGGCGGAGGUCGUGCAAAGAGCGGAUCGAGGCGAAGCACACGAGCGGUUUACCCAGGUUCGGGCCGCACGGAUGCGUAAAACCCUACUCCUGCUUUGUGGUUUGUAUUGAGUUCUUGCUCGGAAGCGUGGAGUGCUACAGUACACACCAGCGGCUAACGAGACCGAGCGUGAGUGUUCUCUGA